CUGAAUAGACGGGCCUC
rnacentral:tRNA from 1 species